AGAGUUUGAUCCUGGCUCAGAUUGAACGCUGGCGGUAUGCCUUACACAUGCAAGUCGAACGGUAGAGGAGCAAUCCUCGAGAGUGGCGAACGGGUGAGUAAUACAUCGGAACGUGCCCAGUCGUGGGGGAUAACGUAGCGAAAGCUACGCUAAUACCGCAUACGACCCGAGGGUGAAAGCGGGGGACUCGCAAGAGCCUCGCGCGAUUGGAGCGGCCGAUGGCAGAUUAGGUAGUUGGUGGGGUAAAGGCCCACCAAGCCUGCGAUCUGUAGCUGGUCUGAGAGGACGACCAGCCACACUGGGACUGAGACACGGCCCAGACUCCUACGGGAGGCAGCAGUGGGGAAUUUUGGACAAUGGGCGAAAGCCUGAUCCAGCCAUACCGCGUGCGGGAAGAAGGCCUUCGGGUUGUAAACCGCUUUUGUCAGGGAAGAAAUACUUCGGGCUAAUACCCUGGGGUGAUGACGGUACCUGAAGAAUAAGCACCGGCUAACUACGUGCCAGCAGCCGCGGUAAUACGUAGGGUGCAAGCGUUAAUCGGAAUUACUGGGCGUAAAGCGUGCGCAGGCGGUUCUAUAAGACAGAUGUGAAAUCCCCGGGCUNCACCUGGGAACUGCAUUUGUGACUGUAGAGCUAGAGUACGG
rnacentral:rRNA from 1 species